rnacentral:rRNA from 1 species
GACAGAGGGUGCAAACGUUGCUCGGAAUUACUGGGCGUAAAGCGCGUGUAGGCGGGCCGAUAAGUCAGGCGUGAAAUCCCCGAGCUCAACUCGGGAACUGCACCUGAAACUGUCGGCCUAGAGUGAUGGAGAGGGUAGCGGAAUUCCUGGUGUAGAAGUGAAAUUCGUAGAUAUCAGGAGGAACACCGGUGGCGAAGGCGACUACCUGGACAUUAACUGACGCUUAGACGCGAAAGCGUGGGGAGCAAACAGG